AGUUGUGUAAGAAAGCUGAGCAGGCUCUGGAGAGCAAGCCCGUAAGCAGCGUAAGUUACUGAGGAACACUGCUUAUGAGCUUGCACUCCAUAGCCUCUGCUUCCACUCCUGCCUCUGGG
rnacentral:precursor_RNA from 7 species